rnacentral:lncRNA from 1 species
CUUGUAGACAUUUUACAAAGGUGUGACUCUGGCCAAAAUUCUUUUCUCCUUGAACUUCAGGUUGCUGAGAUUGGCUUCUCACAAGCUCAAGCCCAAAGGUGAAAGAGAACAGAUACGUGCAGGCUGUGGAUGGAGUAGGGAAGAGGGCACCAUUGGCCAUGCGAACGAUGUGCUUGGGCAAAAGAGACUUGGAAGUGGCGGCGAGUUCCUCAUAGGCCUUACUUAGAAGGUGUCGGAGAGGACCUGACUCCAGCAGUCCCAGCAGCUCCAUGGAAAGAGCACCAGGUUUCGUGGAGAAGCAGCAGCUGUGGUCCGCCUAGUGAACAAUUGCACCGAACAGUGCAUUGCUCGGCCUGGA